UACGUAGGUGACAAGCGUUGUCCGGAUUUACUGGGCGUAAGAGCGCGCAGGCGGUCGAUCAAGUCGAGUGUGAAAGCCCCCGGCUCAACUGGGGGAGGGUCAUUCGAUACUGAUCGACUUCGAAGGCAGGAGAGGGUAGUGGAAUUCCCGGUGUAGUGGUGAAAUGCGUAGAUAUCGGGAGGAACACCAGUGGCGAAGGCGACUACCUGGCCUGUUCUUGACGCUGAGGCGCGAAAGCUAGGGGAGCAAACGGG
rnacentral:rRNA from 1 species